rnacentral:rRNA from 1 species
CGGAGGGUGCAAGCGUUAUCCGGAUUCACUGGGUUUUAAAGGGUGCGUAGGUGGGUUGGUAAGUCAGUGGUGAAAUCUCCAGGCUUAACUUGGAAACUGCCAUUGAUACUAUUAAUCUUGAAUACCGUGGAGGUCAGCGGAAUAUGUCAUGUAGCGGUGAAAUGCUUAGAUAUGACAUAGAACACCAAUUGCGAAGGCAGCUGGCUACACGAAUAUUGACACUGAUGCACGAAAGCGUGGGGAUCAAACAGGAUUAGAUACCCUGGUAGUCCACGCCCUAAACGAUGGAUACUCGACAUACGCGAUAUACUGUGUGUGUCUGAGCGAAAGCAUUAAGUAUCCCACCUGGGAAGUACGAUCGCAAGAUUG